CCACCCAAUGCAUCUCAGCAGACAAAAGGAGAAGCCAGACAUGCCUAGUUUCUCCACGACACCCAGGGCCUGGGCCUCGUGUAGAUAUGAGGCCCGUACAUCAGUCCUGGCCUGACAAAAAAGCUCAGAAGGCUUCUCCUAGCAGCGGCCUGUUGAACACGGACUGGAGGAGAGAGUAAAGAAACAGGCUGCUUUUCCCCGGGCCCAGGCUCUGUCAGGCAGGCCUGAUUUGUAUGACUGCUCCAGACGCUGCAGAAACAAACACUGGGCUGUUGGGUCAGGUUCCCCUGUUUCUCAGAUGAAGGAGCCAGACCGGAGCCAGCGCAUUUCUCAACCCCCAGGCAACCGCUGACCAGGCCUCCUGGGCUCUGUCUCCACUGGCAGCUGUGAGCGGCGCAGCCUCCUGGCUGGCUGAGCAGCCCCCGGCCCUGCUGGCAGCCACGGGACACGUUGUCUAGCUGCAAUCUCGAGUGGAACCGUAGUCGACGAAACAGAGCGAGGAGCUGCCUCGCCUCGCGUUCUUGCCUUGCUCUCACCAUCACAUUUUCCUGGAACCCUGGGAUUCCUUAGAAUCCAGUCUGAAAAGCACUGUCCGCAUUCAAUUCCUGUACCUCAUGCGUGGGAAACAGAGAUCUGGAGAAGCUAAGGGAUCUGUCCAGUGUCAAAAGGCCAGGAAGCGGUGGAGGCACAACCAGCCAUCAAGCUUCCUGGUGUCCAGGUCAAGGGCUUUUGGCUGGGCCCGGCAGCCUUCCCUGCUCUCACCUACUAUGCAGGAAAAUGCCUUGAUGGCCUCUCUGGUCCCUGGCCUGGAAGGGGAAGGAGAAACAAAGAGGAGGCUAAACUGUUCUACCUGAAAUGACAUUUGAGCUUUGCUCCCUGGAAGCCCCAGAGGCUGGAUGGGUGAAGGCUGGGUCGUGGAGCUGGGCAGGGCUCAGAAAUGGAGUGUGACAAGGGAAAUGAAGACAGAAUCCCAAAACGGAGUAGGAGAUGCACUCUAUGGGGGACAGGACACAGCCACCCUCUUUCUGGGAACAUCGAGCUGUUUUUGCCUACUCCUGUAUUUCCAUCAAAGGUCUGGUGGCCCCGGGAACCUCAUGUCGAUGGCUGGUGGAAUGGCGAUGGGCAACAGGAGAGGGAGCUCGAGUCUCCAGUGCUGAGAGUGAGCUCAGGAAGACAGAAGCAUCACGGAUGGAAGGGGUGAACACCUGGGCGUGCUGGGGAGACGGGGUUUCUCAGAGUAGCGGGGACUGGGCACGCGCUGUUUGAUUUGGAGGGUCAAGCGAUGGAUGCUGCCAGAAGGCUAAAAGGUGAGGGUGUUUGGCGUACCUGGCGAUGUGUGUGCAUGUUUCCAAGAUGCAUAUUUACAUCAGUGUGUUCAUGAGGGCCGCUACCUGUGUGGUCGUGCAGGUAGAUGUGUGUGUGAGUACGUUAAGUAUGGAAAUGCAGACAUACCCCAUAUAUGUAGGAGUACGUGCAUAGGGGGCCUGGACUUCAGGAUGUGUGGUUAUGUGUGUACAAAUGAAUAAAGACGAGCAGUGGCCAUGUGGGUGUGGAUGUGAGAAGGCCUGUGAGCGCGGCUGUGUGUCACUCCAUGUGCGUGUAGGGCUGUGGGGAGAUUUGUAAAUGUGCAGACCCUCUACUCUGUGUGUGUGCACAGAUGUGCCAGGGACCCAACAACCUCUGCAGCGUGCCUCCCUCCCUUUGGGGUCCGGCACAGCCGGCGAGGCUCCGCACAGCAGGGAAGGGGGAGUAGAUGUUCCCGGGCGUGCUUGCCCCAGAGUGCUGCUCCUUGCCCAAGAACAUUCCCACUUUCCCAUUCCUGGGAAGGAACAUAAUGUCCACUGGCUCCUCUCCUGCCCGAUGAGUCCAACUCCCUUGUCUUGGGCUGCAAGGCGCUUCCUGACCAGGACAGGGAGCAUCCAGGGAGCCAAACCCCGGGGGCAGAGUGGGAGGGAAACAUACCGGCUCCAAGAGUGUCAGCAACAGGAGAUCUUCCCGGGGUGAUUAAAGUAGCCAUCAUUUAUUGGGUGUUUGCCAUGCGCCAGCCCCGUGCAGAACAUUUCACAUGAAUAAACUCAUUUAAGCCUCCCUACAGCCAUAGUUGCUAGGGAUUACCACGAUCUCGUUUGGGCAGAUGAGGACACUGAGGCUCAGGUGAAGGAACUUGCACAAGAUGGCACAGGCAGAGCUGAGACUGGAACCGCCGAGGUUCCUAUACCCCUCAGCCAGCCUCGCCUUUUCCAAAUACCUUGUUAGAACUUGAGGUCCUACUAUGUGCCAGGCCAUGCGCUGAGCCCUUUCAUAUCAUAAAUGACACAUAUCACGCUUUCCAUUUAUUAUCUUAUUUCACCUCCAUAACUACAUUAUCAGGUGGAUGUGAUGCCCAUUUACAAUUAAAGAAACUGAGGAACAGAGAGGUUGAGUCACUUUCUUAAGGACACACAGCUUGUAAAAAUUGGAACCAGAACUUGAACUUGAGCCCAUGUCUGUAAUAAAUUAGAUUAUCACAUUUUAGACCCAUGAUAUUCUCAUGAAGUAGGGAAUAUUUAGCCCAGGAUCAGAGACAGGGCACAGAACUGCUAUGUAACUGAGUAAGGAGCAGAGACAGGAUAGGAACUCAGGUCUGCGGGAACAUCGAUGUGCUUCUGUGGAUGGACAUCUGAGACUGAAUUAUAAGAAUACGGUCAGGCAUGUG